UACAGAGGGGGCAAGCGUUGUUCGGAAUUACUGGGCGUAAAGGGCGCGUAGGCGGCCGCCUAAGUCAGACGUGAAAUCCCUCGGCUCAACCGGGGAACUGCGUCUGAUACUGGGUGGCUUGAAUCCGGGAGAGGGAUGCGGAAUUCCAGGUGUAGCGGUGAAAUGCGUAGAUAUCUGGAGGAACACCGGUGGCGAAGGCGACAUCCUGGACCGGUAUUGACGCUGAGGCGCGAAAGCCAGGGGAGCAAACGGG
rnacentral:rRNA from 1 species